ACCUGUUUGUUCGUCAAUACUCAUAACGGCUGUAAUUACAUUUUCAACCUCUGCCAGUUUUAAUGACCGGGUCCGUUCUUGCGUUGUGGUCACAUUGAUUCACGGGUUCUUGGUCAAAGGUCGCUUAACGGUUAAGUUAACCCGGUUCUGUUACGGUCAAAACGCGAAAACGCAACCGUGGAACCCGAUGAUCUGUUGAAGAGGAGUUUUAGUUAUUUAUCUACAUUUUUAAAAACAAAGAAGAAUAGAAUUUCUGAAGUCUACAAUAAAGAGGACUGCAGUCAAUUGGAAAUAUCUGGGAUCCUACACAUUGAAAUGGAACCUGAAAAUGGGAAGAACUCCUGCACUGAGAAUAAAGAUGCUUGAUGUUCUCCCAAGGAAUCAUGAUUUCACUGAAAUGGAGACAAAACACAAGGCAGAAACCAUGGCCCUUUAAUGGUGAACAUCAGUGGGGCAAGUAUGACCACAUUAUUAUGCAUCUCAAUUUUGUAUUUUUAAUUGAAAUGUUCUUUUCUUUUUACUUGUAGAUUGCUAAUCUCCUGUAAAAUGAAUCUGAUUAAAUCAAACUGUCAGAAGUAAUGACUUGACUCAAGCUUGGCAUGUCAAAGACUCGACUCAACUCAAGUUUUACCCCCCUCAGACGUGACCCAAUUUUUGUGACUCGAUUACAACAACAGCUUAUUAAUGCGAGCAACCUCAUUGCUUUUUAUAUUUUUUAUUUAGAAUAUACAGAAAUACGCCAUAGGUAAAUAAACUGCUACUUCCAAUGCUACAGCUCACAGUCUGAUUGCAGCUAGACAGGAAGUUACAUUUUGACAGUUUAGCUGGAGUAUUCAUAUUUGGGUAUUUCACUGCAACCUAUAUUUUGUUAGUUGUAAACUACCUGAUGAUUUUCAGAGUGAAAAUAGGCUAGCAUAUAGGAAAACUCAUCACAAACAUAGAAUACUGCAAGCACGAUUACCGAUUCAGGAGUACAUGGUUAAAAAAUGAAAUGCAAAGAAUUUCCACUCCAACAUCCUGGCAAUGAAUCAAGGUAAGGUAGCUGUUAGAUUAUACUGCAUGCAUUUUUUAGAGAAUAAUACAAAUAUAUUCAAGUAACAGUUUUGCAUUUUUUUCUUUUGAUAUUAGUACAAAGGACACAGCCUUUGAAAUAUACAGCUAUGGCCAAACCAGAACCGGAAGUCAGCCAUCUUGGUGAAAGGGUGUAGUUGUAAGACUCAUAGACAUAUAUAGAACUAGACCCACCAUCAGCUGAGUUCAAGUGAGCAAUUGCGCCACCUUCUUGGGUGAUAAUAAGAGCGGAGGUAUAUUUAUAUUUAUAGUAAUAUUUAAGCAGCUUCAAUAGAUUUUCAAUUAAAUGAUUAUGUUGUGAAAAACAAAUAGAACCAACGUGAUUCAGUACAUUACAAUACAUCUGACCACAUUAUAUAUAGGUAGGUAGAAACAGAAAUAGACAUCGAAGAGUAACAACCUUACAUCUAUGUCUUGUAUAUGUAGCUUGUUAAUAUAACUCUCAUUCUAUUUUUUGACAGGUCAUAUACCAGUUGUUUGACAUCUUGAACUCUAGAAACCCUAAAGCUAAAGGAUACAAGCCCCCACUGGGAAAAAGUUUCUUAAAAAAACAGCUUACAAGCUGGUACACCAAUAUUUGUCUCUAACAGACAUACACAGAUCACAGGGAUUGUAGUGACAAUUGAGUCCAUGCUAAAGAUGGCUCCUGACCUGCUGAAGCUGCAGCCAUACAUAUUAACUUACAAGUUCUGGCUGCUCUGUAACACCAUUAGAAGAGCAGGAGGAUGGAACAAUAAGUUUAGAGCUGCUUUCAAGAAGAUCCUGGCUAGCUGUGGUGUGCUUCCAAAUUCAAAUGGGAAUAUAGUACAGCUUGAUGAAACCACAGAUGUUACUCUUUCAUCAGCUGUAUUUUCUGGUUCACAAGUACUUUGCAGUGGUGAUGAAGAUACUCUUAUGACAGAUGAUGGUGAUCUGUUUGUACAAGAAACACACCUUAGAAUUGUACUUGAACAUGACUACUCAGACCAUGUCCUUAAAGGGUGCCUCACAACAGUAGAAAAUGAUGUAACUUACAUUGCAGGCGGGGUUGUACAUAAAGUGUGCAAAAUCAUCAGCUGUAGUACUUGUAAAGAUUCCUUGAUAUCUUCUAGAGCACCAAGUGAGUUUGAUCAGUCGUAUCGAUCACUUCAGCUAAAGAAUGAGGGGGUCUGGUGAUACCAUCUUUAGGUACAGUGUACAGGAAAUUAACUAAUUGAUGUGCACAGUCAAAAAAAUCUACACAAGAUCAAGUACUGAGAUUGGUUAAUGAAGUUAUGGGGCACAAAGAUGUAUUUUGUCUUGGUAGUCAUAUUGUGGAAACACAGUAUGAAAUUGAUAACCAUCAUUUUGAUCUGAUCUCUGUUUUAGUUCAGGUUUAUUAUAAAUUGAGGCAGCAUCACUUUGCAAAAACAUAACAUUCAAAAUCAAGGAAAGUCAAUUCGAAAAGUGUUAGGAAAACUAAUUUUAUUUAAAGGACAAUAAAAGACUACUAUUUUUUGGAUAGUUAUAGGCUAUAUAUAUAU